UAAGGAAUAUUGCUCAAUGGGAGAAAUCCUGAAGCAGCAACGCCGCGUGGAGGAUGAAGGGUCUAUGGCUUGUAAACUCCUGUAAAGAAGGAAAAAAUUCCCAUUUGAUGGGAGAUGAUGGUACUUCUGGAGUAAGCCCCGGCUAACUACGUGCCAGCAGCCGCGGUAAUACGUAGGGGGCAAGCGUUGUCCGGAUUUACUGGGUGUAAAGGGUGCUCAGGCGGAUUUGUAAGUCAGAGGUGAAAUCUUACAGCUUAACUGUGAAACUGCCUUUGAUACUGCAAGCCUACAGUAUGGAAGAGAGUGAUGGAAUAUCUGGUGUAGCAGUGAAAUGCGUAGAUAUCAGAUAGAACACCAAUGGCGAAGGCAGUCACUUGGUCCAUUACUGACGCUAAAGCACGAAAGCGUGGGUAGCAAACA
rnacentral:rRNA from 1 species